rnacentral:rRNA from 1 species
AGAGUUUGAUCCUGGCUCAGGACGAACGCUGGCGGCGUGCUUAACACAUGCAAGUCGAACGGAAAGGCCCUGCUUUUGUGGGGUGCUCGAGUGGCGAACGGGUGAGUAACACGUGAGUAACCUGCCCUUGACUUUGGGAUAACUUCAGGAAACUGGGGCUAAUACCGGAUAGGAGCUCCUGCUGCAUGGUGGGGGUUGGAAAGUUUCGGCGGUUGGGGAUGGACUCGCGGCUUAUCAGCUUGUUGGUGGGGUAGUGGCUUACCAAGGCUUUGACGGGUAGCCGGCCUGAGAGGGUGACCGGCCACAUUGGGACUGAGAUACGGCCCAGACUCCUACGGGAGGCAGCAGUGGGGAAUAUUGCACAAUGGGCGGAAGCCUGAUGCAGCAACGCCGCGUGCGGGAUGACGGCCUUCGGGUUGUAAACCGCUUUCGCCUGUGACGAAGCGUGAGUGACGGUAAUGGAAAGAG